GACGAACGCUGGCGGCGCGCUUAACACAUGCAAGUUGAGCGAGAACCAGACCUUCGGGUCUGGGGACAGCGGCGAACGGGUGAGUAACACGUGGGUAAUCAACCCUCGGUACUGGGAUAGCCCGGGGAAACCCGGAUUAAUACCGGAUGGCCCUUCGGAUCUUCGGUUCCGAAGGAAAAGGUAGCUUCGGCCUCCGACCGAGGACGAGCCCGCGGCGGAUUAGCUUGUUGGUGGGGUAACGGCCUACCAAGGCGGCGAUCCGUAGCUGGUCUGAGAGGACGAUCAGCCACACUGGGACUGAGACACGGCCCAGACUUCUACGGAAGGCAGCAGUGGGGAAUCUUGCGCUAAUGCGGGAAACCGUGACGCAGCGACGCCGCGUGAGGGAAGAAGGCCUUCGGGUUGUAAACCUCUUUCAGAAGGGACGAAGCUACUCGGGUUAAUAGCCCAGAGGGUGACGGUAUCUUCAGAAGAAGCCCCGGCUAACUACGUGCCAGCAGCCGCGGUAA
rnacentral:rRNA from 1 species